CUACGGGAGGCAGCAGUCGAGAAUUUUUCACAAUGGGCGAAAGCCUGAUGCAGCGACGCCGCGUGCGGGAUGACGGUCUUCGGAUUGUAAACCUCUUUCAGCAGGGACGAAGCGAAAGUGACUGUACCUGCAGAAGAAGCACCGGCUAACUACGUGCCAGCAGCCGCGGUAAUACGUAGGGUGCAAGCGUUGUCCGGAAUUAUUGGGCGUAAAGAGCUCGUAGGCGGUUUGUCGCGUCGGAUGUGAAAACCCAAUGGCUUAACCUUGGGCCUGCAUUCGAUACGGGCAAACUAGAGUGUGGUAGGGGAGACUGGAACUCCUGGUGUAGCGGUGGAAUGCGCAGAUAUCAGGAAGAACACCGAUGGCGAAGGCAGGUCUCUGGGCCAUAACUGACGCUGAGGAGCGAAAGCGUGGGGAGCGAACAGGAUUAGAAACCCGAGUAGUCC
rnacentral:rRNA from 1 species